rnacentral:rRNA from 1 species
GCCUAAAAUCUAGCCCACACACUCGCAUGAUUCCACUCUACCCCCGCCCCUAAACAAAACAUUUUGACAUUUUAGUACAGGCGAUCGAAAUAUUUCUAAGCGCUUCAGAUAAAGUACCGCAAGGGAAAAAUGAAAUAGAAAUGAAAUAACCCUAAAGCCCUAAACAGCAGAGAUUAUACCUCGUACCUUUUGCAUCAUGGUCUAGCCAGUCUACCCAAGCAAAAUGAAACUUUCAGUUUGACACCCCGAAACUAAGCGAGCUACUUCAGAACAGCCUAAGAGGGCCAACCCGUCUCUGUUGCAAAAGAGUGGGAAGAUUCUUAAGUAGAGGUGAUAAGCCUACCGAGCUUAGAGAUAGCUGGUUGUUCAGAAAAAGAGUUUUAGCUCUACCUUAAGCUUUCCCAUUACAUUAAAUAAAUCUCAAAACUUAAGAGCUAUUCAAAUAAGGCACAGCUUAUUUGAAACAGGACACAACCUACACCACAGGGUAAAUUAGAGUAAAUCAAGUAAAGUGGGCCUAAAAGCAGCCACCUUUUAAAAAGCGUUAAAGCUUAACUACUCCUUACUCACAAUUCCUUUUAGCCUCAUUAACCCUUCAUUAUUACUGAACAAUUUUAUAUUUUUAUAAAAGCUAUUAUGCUAGAACUAGUAACAAGAAACUGCCUUUCUCCUAAAUGUAAACAUAAGCCAAAAUAGACCACCUAUUGGUUAUUAACGUAAAUGCCUGAAUCAUACCAACAAAAACUAGAAAACCCUAUGACCCCCUACGUUAACCUUACACCAGAACAUUCCAGGAAAGAUUAAAAGAAAAAGAAGGAACUCGGCAAAUUUUAGCCUCGCCUGUUUACCAAAAACAUCGCCUCUUGACAAAACAUAAGAGGUCCAGCCUGCCCAGUGACAAAGUUUAACGGCCGCGGUACCCUAACCGUGCGAAGGUAGCAUAAUCACUUGUUCUUUAAAUGAGGACUCGUAUCAACGGCACUACGAGGGCUAUACUGUCUCCUUUUUCUAA